CCGUGAUAACGUAGCAUAAUCAUUCGCCACCUAAUUAGUGGAUAGUAUGAAUGGUAAAACGAGUAUAACACUCUCUCAGAAGGAAGUUUUAUGAAAUUGGAAUGGUAGUCAAGAUACUACCUAAAACUGUAAGACGAAAAGACCCUAUAGAGCUUAACUAUACCUUUCUCACAAAGUUAAGUUCACUUAAGUUCAAGAAAGAUUGGUAGUUUAGUUGGGGCGACUGCUUUCUAGUAAAAACGAAAGCAAGCAAUAUUAAUUAUCUAAUUUACUGUCUAAUCUAUGUAUUUAACAGUUAUAAAAAUAGGCAAUAGUGACCCGUUAGUAACAAAAAACACCACUAACGAACAAUAAAUAAAAGCUACCUUAGGGAUAACAGGAUAAUCUUGUUCUAGAGACCCUAUCGAAAACAAGGUUUGUCACCUCUAUGUUGAAUUAAGAUAUCCUAGAAGUGUAGAAGCUUCUGAGG
rnacentral:rRNA from 1 species